CGCUGGCGGCGUGCUUAACACAUGCAAGUCGAACGGGAAUUACUUUAUUGAAACUUCGGUCGAUUUAAUUUAAUUCUAGUGGCGGACGGGUGAGUAACGCGUGGGUAACCUGCCUUAUACAGGGGGAUAACAGUCAGAAAUGGCUGCUAAUACCGCAUAAGCGCACAGAGCUGCAUGGCUCGGUGUGAAAAACUCCGGUGGUAUAAGAUGGACCCGCGUUGGAUUAGCUGGUUGGUGGGGUAACGGCCCACCAAGGCGACGAUCCAUAGCCGGCCUGAGAGGGUGAACGGCCACAUUGGGACUGACACACGGCCCACACUCCUACGGGAGGCAGCAGUGGGGAAUAUUGCACAAUGGGGGAAACCCUGAUGCAGCGACGCCGCGUGAAGGAAGAAGUAUCUCGGUAUGUAAACUUCUAUCAGCAGGGAAGAUAGUGACGGUACCUGACUAAGAAGCCCCGGAUAACUACAUGCCAGCAGCCGCGGUAAUACGUAAGGGGCAAGCGUUAUCCGGAUUUACUGGGUGUAAAGGGAGCGUACACGGUGUGGCAAGUCUGAUGUGAAAGGCAUGGGCUCAACCUGUGGACUGCAUUGGAAACUGUCAUACUUGAGUGCCGGAGGGGUAAGCGGA
rnacentral:rRNA from 1 species